rnacentral:misc_RNA from 1 species
GAUGAAGAACGUAGCGAAAUGCGAUACUUGGUGUGAAUUGCAGAAUCCCGUGAACCAUCGAGUCUUUGAACGCAAGUUGCGCCCGAAGCCACUAGGCCGAGGGCACGCCUGCCUGGGCGUCACACGUCGUUGCCCCCCCCCCAUCUACUCCUUCGGGAUUGCGGGGGGCGGAUGAUGGCCUCCCGUGCGCCUAGCCGCGCGGUUGGCAUAAAUACCAAGUCCUCGGCGACGCACGCCACGACAAUCGGUGGUUGCGAAACCUCGGUUGCCCGUCGUGUGCGUUCGUCGCGCAUCGAGGGCUCGAAAAAAUGCUCGGCUCCGGCUCGGCUUUCAACGCGACCCCAGGUCAGGCGGGGUUACCCGCUGAAUUUAAGCAUACCAAUAAGCGGAGGA